rnacentral:rRNA from 1 species
GACGAACCGUGCGAACGUUAUUCGGAAUCACUGGGCUUAAAGCGCGUGUAGGCGGGCCGCCACGUCGGCUGCUGAAAUCCCCCGGCUCAACCGGGGAACGGGCACCGAUACGAGCGGCCUGGAGGGGGGUAGGGGGGCCUGGAACUUCCGGUGGAGCGGUGAAAUGCGUUGAGAUCGGAAGGAACGCCCGUGGCGAAAGCGAGGCCCUGGACCCUUUCUGACGCUGAGACGCGAAAGCCAGGGGAGCGAACGG